UACCGGACAGGGGAGUUGACUGGGAUUAAUCACCAAUACAUGGUACCGAGUUUAGAAAUCACCGGUACAUGGUAGCUCCUAUCUUAAUGACCAAUACAUGGUAAAAAUAUCUAGGCAGGACCGUUUUGCCCUUAUAUUUAAACGACGUAGUUUUGAUUCAUGUCCCCCAAACCCAUUUUAUGGUCUUCUCUUCCUCCUCUCGAAUGAUAUCUCCGUUUCCUCUGUUUAGGGUUUGCCCCUCCCUUGCUUUUCCUCCAUGCUCCCCAUCCUUGCGAGACUUGCCUCAUACCCCGACGUCGUAUCAUAUCUCCAACUCCACCUGCUAAUCGGUUCCCUCACCCUCAUACCUCGAAGCAAAUCGCAUACGCCUACGACAAUUUCCCCUAAUUUGUUUCUGGUGAUUGGAGUCGGAGAAGACUGCGCCCUCCAUCAUUAUAUGGCUCAUUCAUCAUCAGAGUCAAAAUUCAGGGAAUAAUGAAGGACCAGCAUCUACACCCUUUGAUCCUCCCUUGGUAUGAAUGUUAUUUAUUUUUGGGCUUUGGAAAGGAUUGCAUAGUUUCAUAUUCUUGCAUCUGAAAUGUUUAAUGUGAUGAAUCUUGCUUUUACUUUUCCAAUUAUGAGGUAUUUCUUUUGAGAUUGCAGUCUAUGAUUGUCGGAAUUGGAAGUUCACGUAUUGAAUUCACUGAAUAUUGAAUUGCUACUAUUGAAAUAUGCUGAAACUGUGAAUCAGGGCAGUGGAACUAUGAAAAAGUUCACGAAUUUAAUGUUCUUUUGUUGUAAAUCAUCUGGUUUACUUAAAAAGUGGACCAACCUGUUGGGAUAUGUGAUUUUCAUUGCCGUAUCUACAGAUGUUGUUUUAAUGAAUUUUCAUUUAACCGAAAAGUAUCUACAAAUAUUGUUGUUUGGAAUUACGUUCUGUUGCUUGGCCUACUACCAAAGUUAUUGUGGACUCUUCACCCUGGUUUGACUAAUCGGGCCACUUUUCCAACGGAGUUCAUCGUGUUUGACGUUGCCUGGAAAUCUCACGCGAUGAAGCUCUUCCUUCCAAAUUCCAGCUGCUUGGAGUGGUAGAUGAAAUGAAUCGCUUGCAACCAUGUCGUACGCGCGAUAAAGGGUUACCAAUACAAUAUAUAACAUGCCGCCUUCUUCUGACAUGGUACCAAACGUUAACGAGAUCCAAUUUGGUUGCGAUCUACUUGAUAUAGCUCCCUCUUCUUCCUCACCCAUGCCGCCAUUUCUGCCUCAUGCUACAAAGCGACUAGUCGGGCGCCCGAAGAAAAAAGAGGAUUGAGUCGCAAUUUCAAGAUAAGCAAACUGUUUUUUGCUACCGUUUUUGCGAGCUCGGACGCAAUCGAGGCACGUGCAAGUCUGCCUUGCCUGGGUGAGCAUGGGAGCAAUAGCUUGCUCAAAUGACUCAAACAAUGUUUUAUUGAUUUCCAUGCUACUUUGGUUUAAUCUUUCGCUUUAUUCAUGAUAUGCACUCUAAGCGUUACUUUGUAUUUGAAGUUAAAUUUAACUAGUACUAUUAUGUGUAUCGUUAUUUCAUACUUUUGCUUUUGUUGAAUGUAAUGAAUUGGGACCUAUUCAUAUUAUAA